UCAAUAAGCGGAGGAAAAGAAACUAACAAGGAUUCCCCUAGUAACGGCGAGUGAAGAGGGAAGAGCUCAAAUUUUAAAUCUGGUGGCCUACGGUCAUCCGAGUUGUAAUCUAGAGAAGUGUUUUCCGUGCUGGACCGUGUACAAGUCCUUUGGAACAAGGCGUCAUAGAGGGUGAGAAUCCCGUCUACGACACGGACUGCCAGUGCUUUGUGAUACACUCUCAACGAGUCGAGUUGUUUGGGAAUGCAGCUCAAAAUGGGUGGUAAAUUCCAUCUAAAGCUAAAUAUAGGCGAAAGACCGAUAGCGAACAAGUACCGUGAGGGAAAGAUGAAAAGCACUUUGGAAAGAGAGUUAAACAGUACGUGAAAUUGUUGAAAGGGAAACGCUUGAAGUCAGUCGCGUCUUCAGAAAUUCAGCUCGGCUUCUGCCUUGUGUACUUUUCUGUUGGACGGGCCAGCAUCAGUUUUGGCCGCCAGAAAAAGGUGGGAGGAAGGUGGCACCUCCGGGUGUGUUAUAGCCUCUYAUCGUAUGUGGCGGCUGGGACUGAGGAUCGCAGCACGCCUUCAAUGGCCGGGGUUCGCCCACGUAACGUGCUUAGGAUGCUGGCGUAAUGGCUUUAAACGACCCGUCUGAAAACACGGGA
rnacentral:rRNA from 1 species